AAAUUGAAGAGUUUGAUCAUGGCUCAGAUUGAACGCUGGCGGCAGGCCUAACACAUGCAAGUCGAGCGGUAGCACAGAGAGCUUGCUCUCGGGUGACGAGCGGCGGACGGGUGAGUAAUGUCUGGGAAACUGCCUGAUGGAGGGGGAUAACUACUGGAAACGGUAGCUAAUACCGCAUAAUGUCGCAAGACCAAAGUGGGGGACCUUCGGGCCUCAUGCCAUCAGAUGUGCCCAGAUGGGAUUAGCUAGUAGGUGGGGUAACGGCUCACCUAGGCGACGAUCCCUAGCUGGUCUGAGAGGAUGACCAGCCACACUGGAACUGAGACACGGUCCAGACUCCUACGGGAGGCAGCAGUGGGGAAUAUUGCACAAUGGGCGCAAGCCUGAUGCAGCCAUGCCGCGUGUGUGAAGAAGGCCUUCGGGUUGUAAAGCACUUUCAGCGGGGAGGAAGGCGGUGAGGUUAAUAACCUCACCGAUUGACGUUACCCGCAGAAGAAGCACCGGCUAACUCCGUGCCAGCAGCCGCGGUAAUACGGAGGGUGCAAGCGUUAAUCGGAAUUACUGGGCGUAAAGCGCACGCAGGCGGUCUGUCAAGUCGGAUGUGAAAUCCCCGGGCUCAACCUGGGAACUGCAUUCGAAACUGGCAGGCUAGAGUCUUGUAGAGGGGGGUAGAAUUCCAGGUGUAGCGGUGAAAUGCGUAGAGAUCUGGAGGAAUACCGGUGGCGAAGGCGGCCCCCUGGACAAAGACUGACGCUCAGGUGCGAAAGCGUGGGGAGCAAACAGGAUUAGAUACCCUGGUAGUCCACGCUGUAAACGAUGUCGAUUUGGAGGUUGUGCCCUUGAGGCGUGGCUUCCGGAGCUAACGCGUUAAAUCGACCGCCUGGGGAGUACGGCCGCAAGGUUAAAACUCAAAUGAAUUGACGGGGGCCCGCACAAGCGGUGGAGCAUGUGGUUUAAUUCGAUGCAACGCGAAGAACCUUACCUGGUCUUGACAUCCACAGAACUUAGCAGAGAUGCUUUGGUGCCUUCGGGAACUGUGAGACAGGUGCUGCAUGGCUGUCGUCAGCUCGUGUUGUGAAAUGUUGGGUUAAGUCCCGCAACGAGCGCAACCCUUAUCCUUUGUUGCCAGCGGUUAGGCCGGGAACUCAAAGGAGACUGCCAGUGAUAAACUGGAGGAAGGUGGGGAUGACGUCAAGUCAUCAUGGCCCUUACGACCAGGGCUACACACGUGCUACAAUGGCAUAUACAAAGAGAAGCGACCUCGCGAGAGCAAGCGGACCUCAUAAAGUAUGUCGUAGUCCGGAUUGGAGUCUGCAACUCGACUCCAUGAAGUCGGAAUCGCUAGUAAUCGUAGAUCAGAAUGCUACGGUGAAUACGUUCCCGGGCCUUGUACACACCGCCCGUCACACCAUGGGAGUGGGUUGCAAAAGAAGUAGGUAGCUUAACCUUCGGGAGGGCGCUUACCACUUUGUGAUUCAUGACUGGGGUGAAGUCGUAACAAGGUAACCGUAGGGGAACCUGCGGUUGGAUCACCUCCUUACCUUAAAGAA
rnacentral:rRNA from 1 species